rnacentral:rRNA from 1 species
UACGUAGGGGGCUAGCGUUGUUCGGAAUUACUGGGCGUAAAGCGCACGUAGGCGGCUUUGUAAGUUAGAGGUGAAAGCCCGGGGCUCAACCCCGGAAUUGCCUUUAAGACUGCAUCGCUAGAAUUGUGGAGAGGUGAGUGGAAUUCCGAGUGUAGAGGUGAAAUUCGUAGAUAUUCGGAAGAACACCAGUGGCGAAGGCGACUCACUGGACACAUAUUGACGCUGAGGUGCGAAAGCGUGGGGAGCAAACAGG